rnacentral:rRNA from 1 species
CAAUAGCGUAUAUUAAAGUUGUUGCAGUUAAAAAGCUCGUAGUUGGAUUUCUGGGAGAGUGCCAAUGUCCGCCGAAGUGCGUGCGCAGCGGCGCUCUUUCAUCCUUCUGUUAACGGCUCUCGGCAUUCAUUUGCUGGUGUCGGGCUCAGAUAUUUUACCUUGAGAAAAUUAGAGUGUUUCAGGCAGGCUAGGCCGGAAUACAUUAGCAUGGAAUAAUAAGAUAGGACUUCGGAACUAUUUUGUUGGUUUGCGUUACGAAGUAAUGAUUAAUAGGGACAGUUGGGGGUAUUCGUAUUUCAUUGUCAGAGGUGGAAUUCUCGGAUUUGUUAAAGACUAACUUAUGCGAAAGCAUUUGCCAAGGAUGUUUUCAUUAAUCAAGAACGAAAGUUAGGGGAUCAAAGAUGAUCAGAUACCAU